AGUGAACGCUGGCGGUAGGCCUAACACAUGCAAGUCGAACGGCAGCGCAGUAAGAGCUUGCUCUUACGGGUGGCGAGUGGCGGACGGGUGAGGAAUACAUCGGAAUCUACUUUUUCGUGGGGGAUAACGUAGGGAAACUUACGCUAAUACCGCAUACGACCUACGGGUGAAAGCAGGGGAUCUUCGGACCUUGCGCGAUUGAAUGAGCCGAUGUGGGAUUAGCUAGUUGGCGGGGUAAAGGCCCACCAAGGCGACGAUCCGUAGCUGGUCUGAGAGGAUGAUCAGCCACACUGGAACUGAGACACGGUCCAGACUCCUACGGGAGGCAGCAGUGGGGAAUAUUGGACAAUGGGCGCAAGCCUGAUCCAGCCAUACCGCGUGGGUGAAGAAGGUCUUCGGGUUGUAAAGCCCUGUUGUUGGGAAAGAAAAGCAGCAGGUGAAUACCCCGCUGUUCUGACGGUACCCAAAGAAUAAGCACCGGCUAACUUCGUG
rnacentral:rRNA from 1 species